GAUGCUCAGUCCCAGCAUCCUGGUUGGAAACUCACUGUGCUGGUUCCUUGGUGGCUGUGGGAACCGUGGCAUUCUUGUGUAUGAUUUGGCCAAGCACAAUCUAGCUCAGAUUGAUACCCCAGUGGAUGCACACAUUGCAACAGCAUCGCGCUUUCAAAUAUUGAGGAUGGAGAAUAGCGAACUUGGCCUCGCCGUUUUGUCAGGCGUGAGCAUGCAACUAUGGGAGAGGAAGGCCAGUUCCAAUGAUGGUGUCACAUGGAUGCUUCAGAAAACCAUAGAACUGGACAAGCUCCUUUCAUUGAGGUCACUAAUUUGUCGAACAUGGACAGCGAUACAUGGAUAUGAUGAGGAUAGUCAUGUGAUGUUUGUAUCAAUAGAUCUUGAAGUCUUCAUGAUCCCACUCAAGUCACUGCAGUUCAGAAAUCUUUUCGAGAUUGAUUUCAUGACCACCUAUUAUCCCUACACAGGUUUCCAUACUAUAGGCAGGAGCACUGUCAGUAUAGAUGUUGGAUCUGACACUUUGAACAACACUUGAGACUAUCCUCAGAUCUGAUAACUUGAGAUGAUUGAACAGAUCAACUCGAAGAGAACGGAGUUAUGCAGCCCAUGAUGAAGAAUCGACAUGAUGCAGGUUUAUUAUUGUUUUUCUCUGCUCUUGACUGUAAUUUACCUGUCUUUAGUGUGGCUAUCGACUGUAAUUUACUUGUCUCUUACGUCAGCCUUCAUCUACUGUGGAGUUGACCCACCGACUUUUAUCUGUUCUCAGCAUUAGAUUGUCAACUGAGGUGGUUUGCUUCCAGUAACCUGCCUAUCAGUUAUCACGUUCUGUUUUA